rnacentral:tRNA from 1 species
CGGAGUGUAGCUCAGCCUGGUAGAGCACUGUCUUCGGGAGGCAGGGGCCGCAAGUUCAAAUCUUGCCACUCCGACCA